UACGGGGGGUGCGAGCGUUGUCCGGAAUCACUGGGCGUAAAGGGCGCGUAGGUGGCGUGAUAAGGGUGUGGUGAAAGCCCGGGGCUCAACCCCGGGUCUGCCAUGCCGACUGUCAGGCUGGAGUACUGUAGGGGCAGGCGGAAUUCCGGGUGUAGCGGUGGAAGUGCGUAGAGAGUCCGGAGGAAGACCGGUGGCGAAGGCGGCGCUCGUGGACCGAGACUGACGCGUGAGGCGCGAAAGCGUGGGGAGCAAACAGGG
rnacentral:rRNA from 1 species